rnacentral:rRNA from 1 species
GAUGAACGCUGGCGGCGUGCCUAAUACAUGCAAGUCGAGCGAACAGACGAGGAGCUUGCUUCUCUGACGUUAGCGGCGGACGGGUGAGUAACACGUGGAUAACCUACCUAUAAGACUGGGAUAACUUCGGGAAACCGGAGCUAAUACCGGAUAUAAUUUGAAACCCCUUGGUUCAUUGUGGAAAAAGGUUUUUCUGUCACUUAUUGAUGGAACCGCGCCGCAAUAGCUAGUUGGUAAGGUAACGGCUUACCAAGGCAACGAUGCGUAGCCGACCUGAGAGGGUGAUCGGCCACACUGGAACUGAGACACGGUCCAGACUCCUACGGGAGGCAGCAGUAGGGAAUCUUCCGCAAUGGGCGAAAGCCUGACGGAGCAACGCCGCGUGAGUGAUGAAGGUCUUCGGAUCGUAAAACUCUGUUAUUAGGGAAGAACAAAUGUGUAAGUAACUAUGCACGUCUUGACGGUACCUAAUCAGAAAGCCACGGCUAACUACGUG